GACGUAGGGCGCGAGCGUUGUCCGGAUUUAUUGGGCGUAAAGAGCUCGUAGGCGGCUUGUUACGUCGACCGUGAAAACCCGCGGCUUAACUGCGGGCUUGCGGUCGAUACGGGCGGGCUGGAGUUCGGUAGGGGAGACUGGAAUUCCUGGUGUAGCGGUGAAAUGCGCAGAUAUCAGGAGGAACACCGGUGGCGAAGGCGGUUCUCUGGGCCUUACCUGACACUGAGGAGCGAAAGCGUGGGGAGCGAACAGG
rnacentral:rRNA from 1 species